rnacentral:rRNA from 1 species
UAACUACGUGCCAGCAGCCGCGGUAAUACGUAGGGUGCAAGCGUUAUCCGGAAUUAUUGGGCGUAAAGGGCUCGUAGGCGGUUCGUCGCGUCCGGUGUGAAAGCCCAUCGCUUAACGGUGGGUCUGCGCCGGGUACGGGCGGGCUGGAGUGCGGUAGGGGAGACUGGAAUUCCCGGUGUAACGGUGGAAUGUGUAGAUAUCGGGAAGAACACCAAUGGCGAAGGCAGGUCUCUGGGCCGUCACUGACGCUGAGGAGCGAAAGCGUGGGGAGCGAACAGGAUUAGAUACCCUGGUAGUCCACGCCGUAAACGGUGGAUGCUGGAUGUGGGGCCCGUUCCACGGGUUCCGUGUCGGAGCUAACGCGUUAAGCAUCCCGCCUGGGGAGUACGGCCGCAAGGCUAAAACUCAAAGAAAUUGACGGGGGCCCGCACAAGCGGCGGAGCAUGCGGAUUAAUUCGAUGCAACGCGAAGAACCUUACCUGGGCUUGACAUGUUCCCGACAGCCGUAGAGAUAUGGCCUCCCUUCGGGGCGGGUUCACAGGUGGUGCAUGGUCGUCGUCAGCUCGUGUCGUGAGAUGUUGGGUUAAGUCCCGCAACGAGCGCAACCCUCGCCCUGUGUUGCCAGCACGUCAUGGUGGGAACUCACGGGGGACCGCCGGGGUCAACUCGGAGGAAGGUGGGGAUGACGUCAGAUCAUCAUGCCCCUUACGUCCAGGGCUUCACGCAUGCUACAAUGGCCGGUACAGCGGGAUGCGACAUGGCGACAUGGAGCGGAUCCCUGAAAACCGGUCUCAGUUCGGAUUGGAGUCUGCAACCCGACUCCAUGAAGGCGGAGUCGCUAGUAAUCGCGGAUCAGCAACGCCGCGGUGAAUGCGUUCCCGGGCCUUGUACACACCGCCCGUCAAGUCAUGAAAGUGGGCAGCACCCGAAGCCGGUGGCCUAACCCCUUGUGGGAUGGAGCCGUCUAAGGUGAGGCUCGUGAUUGGGACUAAGUCGUAACAAGGUAGCCGUACCGGAAGGUGCGGCUG